CCUACUCUUUCCCUCUCUCUGCCUUUGUACAAUAAAGGCCUUAAAACCAUGGACUGACUCUUCUCAUCGGGAUCCACCAUGCUGGAGCAAUGGAGCAGGCCUUCCCCUAAAGAGCCUCUCACGGGAGGCCUCCCUGUGCUCCAGCCGCGGCUUCGGCCAACCCAAACCACUGACUGAGCAAGCCUAGGACUCUCAUCCCCACGGGCUACUGGGCCAGAGCUGACUCUGCAGCACUUAACUCCUUGCUACUGAUGGUGCUGACUCGCCAGGUUUUUGCGUUUAACAAUGUGCUAUCUACUUGGUUCUAGGUAUCCCCUUCAAAUGCCAUUGUAUUUUGUCACAUACAGAAGAUAUGUUUCAGAAAAUGUUUGCAACUACAUUCAUUCAAGUUUUUGGAUGAAUUAUUUAAAGUCACUGAAAGCCAGUAAGUUAAAGAAAUAUGGCUUCUUCUACUACAUAAAGUCAGGACUCCCAUUCAU